rnacentral:rRNA from 1 species
GACGAACUCUGGCGGCGUGCUUAACACAUGCAAGUCGAACGGUAAGGCUCCAGCUUGCUGGGGUACACGAGUGGCGAACGGGUGAGUAACACGUGGGUGACCUGCCCUGCACUUCGGGAUAAGCCUGGGAAACUGGGUCUAAUACCGGAUAGGACCGCACCGUGAGGGUGUGGUGGAAAGUUUUUUCGGUGUGGGAUGGGCCCGCGGCCUAUCAGCUUGUUGGUGGGGUAAUGGCCUACCAAGGCGGCGACGGGUAGCCGGCCUGAGAGGGUGGACGGCCACAUUGGGACUGAGACACGGCCCAGACUCCUACGGGAGGCAGCAGUGGGGAAUAUUGCACAAUGGGCGGAAGCCUGAUGCAGCGACGCCGCGUGGGGGAUGACGGCCUUCGGGUUGUAAACUCCUUUCACCAUCGACGAAGGGUUUCUGACGGUAGAUGGAGAAGAAGCACCGGCUAACUACGUGCCAGCAGCCGCGGUAAUACGUAGGGUGCGAGCGUUGUCCGGAAUUACUGGGCGUAAAGAGCUCGUAGGUGGUUUGUCGCGUCGUCUGUGAAAUUCCGGGGCUUAACUCCGGGCGUGCAGGCGAUACGGGCAUAACUUGAGUACUGUAGGGGAGACUGGAAUUCCUGGUGUAGCGGUGAAAUGCGCAGAUAUCAGGAGGAACACCGGUGGCGAAGGCGGGUCUCUGGGCAGUAAUUGACGCUGAGGAGCGAAAGCAUGGGGAGCGAACAGGAUUAGAUACCCUGGUAGUCCAUGCCGUAAACGGUGGGCGCUAGGUGUGGGUUUCCUUCCACGGGAUCCGUGCCGUAGCUAACGCAUUAAGCGCCCCGCCUGGGGAGUACGGCCGCAAGGCUAAAACUCAAAGGAAUUGACGGGGGCCCGCACAAGCGGCGGAGCAUGUGGAUUAAUUCGAUGCAACGCGAAGAACCUUACCUGGGCUUGACAUAUACAGGAUCGCGCCAGAGAUGGUGUUUCCCUUGUGGCUUGUAUACAGGUGGUGCAUGGUUGUCGUCAGCUCGUGUCGUGAGAUGUUGGGUUAAGUCCCGCAACGAGCGCAACCCUUGUCUUAUGUUGCCAGCACGUUGUGGUGGGGACUCGUAAGAAACUGCCGGGGUUAACUCGGAGGAAGGUGGGGAUGACGUCAAAUCAUCAUGCCCCUUAUGUCCAGGGCUUCACACAUGCUACAAUGGUCGGUACAGUGGGUUGCCAGUCCGUGAGGGCGAGCUAAUCCCGCAAAGCCGGUCUCAGUUCGGAUCGGGGUCUGCAACUCGACCCCGUGAAGUCGGAGUCGCUAGUAAUCGCAGAUCAGCAACGCUGCGGUGAAUACGUUCCCGGGCCU